UUCAGACUUGGUAAUAAAUGACAGGAGUUUCUUAUCACGUAUUACGUGACUGUCUUGUUCUAACGAUUAGGUAUGUCGAUUCAAUUUCGUUGAUCAAUACUGGACUUCUAGAUACUUCUAAAGAGGUAAGGAGAGGUUAUCAAUGCACGGUGUGGUGAUGUUAUUUAUAAAUUUUACAACUAAACAUCACACCUCUUCGGUUAGCCAAUAAUACCCCCGGUUUUCCCUGAACGUUUAGUCGGACUGCAGCACUGUUAUAAAACGUAAAACUGAAUAGUGCCCGCUGUAAAGUAGGUGUUACUUAUAUAUACGUGCUUCUCUACCUACCCCUUCGGAAAAUAAAAGACGUGAUGUUAUAUUAAAUUUGUUCAUUGUAUUUGCUAUCAUCAUCGACAAUGUUUUCAUAAUAAAUUACGUUUGAUGUGCCUCUGUACAAUUGAAUCGAAACGAAUUCAGUCGCAGUUAUAAAAAUAAAGCAACGUGUAGUUCGGUAAAUAAUUAUCCCCCACAGAUAUCUACGAGUAUCGAUUAUUCGGAGCUGCGGCUAAAACAGACAAGUUCCUGGCAUUCGUGAAAAUCAAUAGUUCGCGAAACUGUGUGUUGGUACGAGCCCCCCAGUAUCUUAACAUCAUUAUCACGUCCAAAAGUUAAACAUAACAUGCCUCUUGUGACAAAUAGAUAGCAAACAUUAAAUAAAGACAUAAAUAUCUAUUUUAGUAAUGUUUAAAAAAAUAAUGAUUUGUAUGUUUGCUUACAUUGAAAAAAUAUAUUUCAUCACUAAAAAUAAACUUUCAAUGGAAAUCUUA